UCCACUUCCUUGAAAGGCCAAAUUCAUCUAUUCCUUCCCUCUUCUUCUUAUCGGCUCCAUCUUCAUUCCCUCUUCUUGGUCCGCUCCGACACACACAAGAAACAGCUAUGCAUGCUAUAUCAGUGCCUUCACCGAUGAGUGUGAGAGUAGUGAGAGUGGGAGCUUCUUGGGAUACCCAACAAAGACUCCCAUACAACCGCAACGCCCCAAGAAAGUUAAAGCAAACCCCCUCCUCCACCACUAUUCCCACCACCGAAACCCCUCCAACUGUCUCUCUAACUGCCUCAACUACCCGUACGGCCGACCACGUCUUUGAACUUCUCAAACGCCCAACUCAAGAGGAGAGAGUCAGAAUGGAUGAGUUAUAUAUGGGCUACGACCGAUGGUUGCCUAGUCCACCUAAGGUACAGAAGCCUAGUUCUCCCAAGGUACAGAAGCCUAGUACACCAAAGGUACAGAAGCCUCAGACCGUACUCAAUGCAGUCUCAUUAGCUUACCUCGGCGACUGUAUUUAUGAGCUAUAUGCUCGCAGGCACUUUUUGUUCCCCCCCUUGAGUAUUGAAGAGUAUAAUGAUCGUGUGAUGGCUGUUGUACGCUGUGAAGCACAGGAUGCACUGCUCCAGAGACUUCUAAAGGACAAUUUUUUAUCAGAAGAAGAGAGGAAUGUCCUUAGGUGGGGAAAGAACAUCAGUUCAGCUAAAACACGAACAAAGAAGCGUGCUGGUGCAGCAGUCUAUAACAGAGCAUCUUCACUGGAAACAUUAGUCAGUGCCCCCUUGUGCUUUCCUUGGACUUUUUUCAUCAACUCUAGGCUUUGGAAUAUUGUAUUUUGAGUCCAAUAGGAAUGUUGAUAUGGUUGGACAUCUCUACCUGACAGAUGUAAAGCGUUUGGAAGAAGUCAUGGUGAAGUUGGGGUUCUCAACUGAUUCUUCUAUGCAGUUGACAUCAGAAGAUGCAAAUGGGCAAGCAUCCUAGUUGAUGAAGAUGGCACUGAAAUCGGGUGUUCCAAUGGGAAAACCUUCAGACGACCUUUUUUGUACUGUAUGUUGAAUUGUUGAUAGCCCACGUGGUUGCGAAUUUGUUUAGUUUUAGAAAUUCUACGACUCAGAAGAUUUUGUGUAGUGUUCGGACAAUAUUGUACAAGUACUUUGUAUCUGAGUUACACUUGGUGCUGAGUUUUGGCACUCGGCAAAUCAUCAAUUUACGAUCACAGAUAA